rnacentral:rRNA from 1 species
UACGUAGGGUGCAAGCGUUAUCCGGAAUUAUUGGGCGUAAAGAGCUCGUAGGCGGUCUGUCGCGUCUGCUGUGAAAACCCGAGGCUCAACCUCGGGCCUGCAGUGGGUACGGGCAGACUAGAGUGCGGUAGGGGAGAAUGGAAUUCCUGGUGUAGCGGUGGAAUGCGCAGAUAUCAGGAGGAACGCCGAUGGCGAAGGCAGUUCUCUGGGCCGUAACUGACGCUGAGGUGACGAAAGCGUGGGGAGCAAACAGG